GAUUGGUCACUUCUUUGCAAAGCUAUGUUGUAGCAGUGUCUGGCCAGGGCCUGGUCUCCCUUGACUUCUCCGACCCCCUGGUUAGUAGGGAAUUUUAAUUUCAGAUGAUAGGUUGACACCACAGCCCGGAGAGCGUUGAGGCCAGGUCAGCCAAGGAUUGCGUUGUAGGCUAACGGUGCCUUCACCACCAGGAAAUCCACCAAAGCCUGGGAUUGUCUUGGAUAUCGACCCGCAGUUACAGUCAAAGUUAUUACCCCCUC
rnacentral:lncRNA from 1 species